rnacentral:rRNA from 1 species
AGUGAACGCUGGCGGUAGGCCUAACACAUGCAAGUCGAACGGCAGCACAGUAAGAGCUUGCUCUUACGGGUGGCGAGUGGCGGACGGGUGAGGAAUACAUCGGAAUCUACUUUUUCGUGGGGGAUAACGUAGGGAAACUUACGCUAAUACCGCAUACGACCUACGGGUGAAAGCAGGGGAUCUUCGGACCUUGCGCGAGUGAAUGAGCCGAUGUCGGAUUAGCUAGUUGGCGGGGUAAAGGCCCACCAAGGCGACGAUCCGUAGCUGGUCUGAGAGGAUGAUCAGCCACACUGGAACUGAGACACGGUCCAGACUCCUACGGGAGGCAGCAGUGGGGAAUAUUGGACAAUGGGAGCAAGCCUGAUCCAGCCAUACCGCGUGGGUGAAGAAGGCCUUCGGGUUGUAAAGCCCUUUUGUUGGGAAAGAAAAGCAGCAGGUUAAUACCCCGCUGUUCUGACGGUACCCAAAGAAUAAGCACCGGCUAACUUCGUG